rnacentral:tRNA from 1 species
GGGGAUGUAGUUUAGUGGUAGAGCACCUGCCUAGCAUGCACAAGGCCCUGGGUUCAUCCCCA